rnacentral:rRNA from 1 species
CAGCAGCUAAGGAUAUUCCGCAACGGGCGGAAGCCCGGCGGAGCGACGCCGCGUGGACGAGGAAGGCCGGAAGGUUGCAGAGUCCUUUUGCGGGGGAAGAAGGAGCCGCGGAGGGAAUGCCGCGGCGGCGACCGAACCCCGCGAAUAAGGGGCGGCUAAUUACGUGCCAGCAGCCGCGGUAACACGUAAGCCCCGAGCGUUGUUCGGAAUCAUUGGGCGUAAAGGGCGCGUAGGCGGCCGCUCAAGCCCGGAGUGAAAGGCGGGGGCCCAACCCCCGGACUGCUCCGGGAACUGGGCGGCUGGAGUCGCCGAGGGGGAGCCGGAAUUCCUGGUGUAGGGGUGAAAUCUGUAGAUAUCAGGAAGAACACCGAUGGCGAAGGCAGGCUUCCAGCGGACGACUGACGCUGAGGCGCGAAGGCGCGGGGAGCGAACAGGAUUAGA